CAGCCUUUUGUCACCACUGCACGUGUAAGAUUACGGUGCCGCACAGACUGUAUUUUUGCUGCCACAGGUGCCUGCCCUUCGACUGUUUCCCUGGACAUUCAUCCCUGUCUGCGCCAUGAGUUUUUAUUUUACUGCGGCUUUUCGCUGCGCUUCUCUCCACUGCUGGGCCCCUCGCCAAGAAGACGGGCAACUUGGUAUGCAGUUUGCUGUUGCUGGAUCACGUGAAAUGUGUCAGAUCCCGAGGCCCCGUGAGUCCUGCUUGAGCAGCCACGGCGAGGCGGCCGGAGAAGGAGCCACGGGGGAGCUUCUCGUGCGUCUGCCAGGCUCCUGGGAGGCCGCCAAUGAAUAAAGUGUUUCACUUAAGCGCCCAAAGACGGCAGACUCCCUGUUCCCGGGUAACCAAGAGAAGCUACGAUGGAUGAGACUUUCCCCCGCUGUAAGCUGCGAGGCAUGCAGAAGCCUCUCCUUUUGUUUCCCAAAUUCGCUGCUGACUGCCAAAUCUACCCAGCCUGACAUCAUCCUCCGCUAAGGGUGAAUCAGCGCGGCUGGGGAGCCUGGUUCUGCAAUCUCCUAAUGACAAUUCGCCGCGGCUUGUCCCUGUAUCAACUGGCCAGGGAAACAACAUUAGUGCCCGAUGGCAGCUUACACAGGAGAACCAGAAAGUGAGUUACUCAAAGCCACAGAGAAGAUAAUGCCAAAAUCAUCACCACUGUGAAAAGUCUGUUUGCAUUUUUCCCCAGGGAUGCUCAUUCUUAAUAUACAGAGGUGCUAAGAGUAAGGAUACUUGCUUAUAAUGACAUGGAUUUUAUUAAUGACAUUCUUGGAUAGGAAUUUCUUGGACAUACUAUUCAAGCUGAGGACUGGAGUGUGUACUAGGGAUUCGCAUGCUGCACUUUGCUGAGCAGAGGCAUGUUUGGAGCAGCUUUUCGAGUCCCGAAGAUCAACAAAUCCAUAUGAAAGCAAGGCUUAGCUUUUCACAUGCUGCAAUGCCUUUCAACUUCAAAGUGCUUCGCACAUGAACUCAGCUGAGAUGCAUUCCGUCAUGAAACUGUUAAGCCUUUGUUUUUUUGUACCACACUAUUAUUAUAUAUAUUAACCUGGUGCCUAGAGGCCCAACUAAGAUCAGGGCUCUGUUGUGCAUAGCUGGAAUAACCCCCCCUCCCCCCCCGCCCCCAGCUUCUAUCCAGAUGAGUUUGUGAUCUACAAAACUAGCAAUGGGUGGGAAAGGGAAGAGAGGCACGGGGAAGUGAAGUACGCUGUAUGUCACGGCUGUUUGCAGAGCGCAGACAGAGCACUAAGUCUGCAUUCAAGGCCAGCACGCGAUCCUUUGGCUUCACUGCCUCCUGCUAACGUCUCAGUUGGCAAGAAGGCCUGCCAGCCAUUUUGUCUCCAAUUCAGAGCAGGCCGAUAUAGACAAAACUGCACACGUUACCUACCCUCUCACAAGUGGGUUUGCUUUGGCUGCUUCCUUGCCUGCUCCCUUAAUCCAAAUUAAGGUUAUUCGCACUUGAACCAUUCUUUACACGUUGUGUGUAAAAAAAAAAAAAAAGUAUAGUGUCUACUGUCUAGCUUGUUGGCUUUUGUAUGCAUACAUAUGUGCUGAAGUGGAGGUGACACCAGGUUUGACAUUUCAUCAGUGAUAGCUUACUCUUGCACCUUCAUUGCAGUGUCUUGAGAGCUUGGGCAGGAAGCAAAUGUAUAGGUUUGUUAAAUAUGAAAUGCUGCCAGAAUAGCUUUUCUAGUAGCUUAGUUAGUUAGUUUUUUCAGUGCUGUAAAGAUACAAAGAACCAUAAAAGUAAUAAGUAUUAUCAUUAUUAGCAGUAUUAAAUAUAAAAAAUUUGCUGCCCAUGCCAGUGAGGAGCAGUGCCGCACAGUCACAGUGGCUUCAGAAAUGUGUACGUAAAGGGCUAGGGGUUAUGCAACCUGGGACAUCUUUGAAAAAAGAAAAGAAAACCCAAGUUAGCUGUGAAUACAAACAAGUUGGUUGCACCCCUUGUGUUGCAAACAGGAUCUCAGGAGACAAUAGUUAUAAGAGUGUAUGUCCAGAUAUCUGGGAUUAACUGCAUGCCAGGUUUGGGCUGAAGUGAAGCUCUCAUUUGGAGACAAACUGUCAGGCCUGUUGGUGCAGGGGAACCAUUAGCUUCCUGAAAAUCAGCCGUUAGGAUCAGGUAGGUCCUAGGAGUUUGCUACAGACAGUGCCUUCCUGUGGCAUUUGACACUGACAGAGUAGUAUCUUAACACUUCCAUGGCUAGAUCAUUCAGCUUAUAUUUUGCUUCCUUUCUCCUACCUCGUAUAGAGAGAAUGUAAGAUUUUGGGGGGCAGAGACUUGUUCUAUUUUUACAUGCCUAAUGUAAUAGGGCCCCACCCUGAGGGGUGCUAGGCACUGUCCUAAUAAAUAUGGUCAAUUAAUGCAUUUGCAUGACCAUCUCCUUUAACCACGUGGGAGGAAUAUUGCUAGUUGACCUUCCUCUGUUGUCAGCUUUCCAAAGUUUGCUUCAAAGAUUCAUGACAAUUCAGGCACGUGCCACAUAACUUGUCCGUACAAUCUGUUGUGGUGAAAAGCCAAAAAGCCGCACUUCAAUGGCUGAUAUCUUUUCUGAGGCUUGAUACCAUAUUUUAAAAGUCAUCUUCUGGUCUUGUCUAAGAGCUGGGUGACUCCAUACCAUCUGAGGGCUGUCUGGCCCUCUGGACCAGUAUGACACUGGCUUGUCCCUAGCAGUCAGGAAGAGACAAACAGUGAAUCCACAAACUCUGUAAACUCUGUGGAAGUGAAUAAAAACUUGUGAAGAUUUUGCCUCAUUUACACUUUGGCUUUAUGUAAUUUAUCAUCUUUCAACGUCUUGCCUGCACUUUUUAAUUACUGCAAUCUUUCCAUCAUUUUUGUAAUUUUAAAAAAGCCAAUUAUAUGACAGUCUUGAUUGGCUAAGAGUCGUAGUAAAAUGUGCACGUGUGUAAGUAAGGGUGA